CUAGAAUUCAUUCCUCAGCCUUUGGUUUUUGCGACAGACGACUUGUUCGUCUGCAACUUGUUGGUGUGAGGACAAUCUGAUGGUCAGUUGUAAAGGAAGCACUGUUGGUGAAUGAGGAGCUGUGACUGAGUUUUAGACACCCCCUACCAACGCAAAGAGGAAGAACAAAAGGACAAUGUCUGGAAGUGACUUACUGUAGCUGAAGGUUUAAGUCAAUGAAGAGAUACUUCAGCAACAACCAGAUUCCCCCUACAGGCAGAUGAAGGUUCAGGCAUGCACAAGAAAGCUCCAAGAAUACAUAGAACUGGACCAGAAGCCAGAAACAAUAUUCCAGCAAUUAACCUGUAUCUAGUUUAAGUAUUGCA